rnacentral:rRNA from 1 species
CGGACGGGUGAGUAACGCGUGAGAAUCUACCUUCAGGUUCGGGACAACCACUGGAAACGGUGGCUAAUACCGAAUGUGCCGAGAGGUGAAAGGCUUGCUGCCUGAAGAAGAGCUUGCGUCUGAUUAGCUAGUUGGUGUGGUAAAGGCGCACCAAGGCGACGAUCAGUAGCUGGUCUGAGAGGAUGAUCAGCCACACUGGGACUGAGACACGGCCCAGACUCCUACGGGAGGCAGCAGUGGGGAAUUUUCCGCAAUGGGCGAAAGCCUGACGGAGCAAUACCGCGUGAGGGAGGAAGGCUCUUGGGUUGUAAACCUCUUUUCUCAGGGAAGAAAAAAAUGACGGUACCUGAGGAAUAAGCAUCGGCUAACUCCGUGCCAGCAGCCGCGGUAAUACGGAGGAUGCAAGCGUUAUCCGGAAUGAUUGGGCGUAAAGGGUCCGCAGGUGGCAUUGUUUGUCUGCUGUUAAAGAGUCUGGCUCAACCAGAUCAAAGCAGUGGAAACUACAAAGCUAGAGUAUGGUCGGGGCAGAGGGAAUUCCUGGUGUAGCGGUGAAAUGCGUAGAUAUCAGGAAGAACACCGGUGGCGAAGGCGCUCUGCUAGGCCAAAACUGACACUGAGGGACGAAAGCUAGGGGAGCGAAUGGGAUUAGAUACCCCAGUAGUCC